rnacentral:rRNA from 1 species
UGGGGAAUAUUGCACAAUGGGCGCAAGCCUGAUGCAGCCAUGCCGCGUGUAUGAAGAAGGCCUUCGGGUUGUAAAGUACUUUCAGUCGGGAGGAAGGUGGUAAGGUUAAUAACCUUAUCAAUUGACGUUACCGACAGAAGAAGCACCGGCUAACUCCGUGCCAGCAGCCGCGGUAAUACGGAGGGUGCAAGCGUUAAUCGGAAUUACUGGGCGUAAAGCGCACGCAGGCGGUUGAUUGAGUCAGAUGUGAAAUCCUCGGGCUCAACCUGGGAACUGCAUCUGAUACUGGUCAGCUAGAGUCUUGUAGAGGGGGGUAGAAUUCCAUGUGUAGCGGUGAAAUGCGUAGAGAUGUGGAGGAAUACCGGUGGCGAAGGCGGCCCCCUGGACAAAGACUGACGCUCAGGUGCGAAAGCGUGGGGAGCAAACAGG